rnacentral:rRNA from 1 species
AGAACGAACGCUGGCGGCAUGCCUAAUACAUGCAAGUCGAACGAACUCUUCGGAGUUAGUGGCGCACGGGUGCGUAACGCGUGGGAAUCUGCCCUUGGGUUCGGAAUAACAGUUGGAAACGGCUGCUAAUACCGGAUGAUGACGAAAGUCCAAAGAUUUAUCGCCCAGGGAUGAGCCCGCGUAGGAUUAGCUAGUUGGUGAGGUAAAGGCUCACCAAGGCGACGAUCCUUAGCUGGUCUGAGAGGAUGAUCAGCCACACUGGGACUGAGACACGGCCCAGACUCCUACGGGAGGCAGCAGUAGGGAAUAUGGACAAUGGGCGAAAGCCUGAUCCAGCAAUGCCGCGUGAGUGAUGAAGGCCUUAGGGUUGUAAAGCUCUUUUACCCGAGAUGAUAAUGACAGUAUCGGGAGAAUAAAGCCCCGGACUAACUCCGUGCCAGCAGCCGC